UACGAAGGGGGCUAGCGUUGCUCGGAAUCACUGGGCGUAAAGGGUGCGUAGGCGGGUCUUUAAGUCAGGGGUGAAAUCCUGGAGCUCAACUCCAGAACUGCCUUUGAUACUGAAGAUCUUGAGUCCGGGAGAGGUGAGUGGAACUGCGAGUGUAGAGGUGAAAUUCGUAGAUAUUCGGAAGAACACCAGUGGCGAAGGCGGCUCACUGGUCCGGUACUGACGCUGAUGUGCGAAAGCGUGGGGAGCAAACAGG
rnacentral:rRNA from 1 species